ACGCGGGAGUGCCAGUGUCCUCCUGGCACCUAUGGGGAUAAUUGUGCCAAACCUUGUGGUCUUGGAAGGUUUGGCCCUGGAUGCAAGCAGGUGUGUGAGUGCCACAACGGGGGCAGCUGUCACCCUGAGACGGGGCACUGUACCUGCACCCCCACUUGGCUCGGUCCAACGUGUCAGGAGAGGGACGUUUCAUUCAUUACCACAAGUGAUCAACGUGGCCGAGCAGACAUCCCCGUGGAACUAAGCUGAGUUUAGAAAGAAAGAAAGAAAGAAAGAAAGAAA
rnacentral:lncRNA from 1 species